rnacentral:rRNA from 1 species
CUGAGAGGAUGACCAGCCACACUGGAACUGAGACACGGUCCAGACUCCUACGGGAGGCAGCAGUGGGGAAUAUUGCACAAUGGGCGCAAGCCUGAUGCAGCCAUGCCGCGUGUAUGAAGAAGGCCUUCGGGUUGUAAAGUACUUUCAGCGGGGAGGAAGGGAGUAAAGUUAAUACCUUUGCUCAUUGACGUUACCCGCAGAAGAAGCACCGGCUAACUCCGUGCCAGCAGCCGCGGUAAUACGGAGGGUGCAAGCGUUAAUCGGAAUUACUGGGCGUAAAGCG